rnacentral:rRNA from 1 species
CCUACGGGAGGCAGCAGUGGGGGAUAUUGCACAAUGGGGGGAACCCUGAUGCAGCGACGCCGCGUGGGUGAAGAAGCGCCUCGGCGCGUAAAGCCCUGUCAGCAGGGAAGAAAAUGACGGUACCUGAAGAAGAAGCACCGGCUAACUACGUGCCAGCAGCCGCGGUAAUACGUAGGGGGCAAGCGUUAUCCGGAUUUACUGGGUGUAAAGGGGGCGCAGACGGGGAUGCAAGCCAGGAGUGAAAGCCCGGGGGCUAACCCCGGGACUGCUCUUGAUACUGGGUGGCUGGAGUGCGGGAGUGGCAGGCGGAAUUCCUGGUGUAGCGGUGAAAUGCGUAGAUAUCAGGAGGAACACCGAUGGCGAAGGCGGCCUGCUGGACUGCAACUGACGUUGAGGCCCGAAAGCGUGGGGAGCAAACAGGAUUAGAUACCCCGGUAGUC